UAUCAGGGCUUUUCCAGUUAGGAAGUUCUUAUGAGUGGAUUGUUACGAAGAAGUCCGGACGGUCAUCAGAAGCUGAUUUAGUUGCAAUGGUGGAAAAUGAAUCUGAAUCUUUGUUGAAGAAGAAUACUGUUUCAAGGUCAUCAUCAGAAUCAGGCCUUGCUGAACUUAACAAAUUAGAGAUGACCAAGAAAACGGUAAAGAGGAAGAGAAAUCGUAUAUACAGGAAAGAGCUUGCCCUUGCAUUUAUAUUAUUAACUGCCUCUGUCAGAAGUUUGUUAUCUGCUCAAGGGAUUCACUUCUAUUUCCUAUUGUUUCAAGGGUUUACUUUCCUUGUUGUUGGUCUUGAUUUGAUUGGCGAACAGGUGAGUUAAUCAUAAGAUUUUUACAAGAUAUUUGGCCAAGAGUUCAGUUGUGGCAAAUCCUUUCGGAAGGGCAGACCGUACUGCUUGUACAUGUGAUUGUGGUACCUGGCUCCCUAUUCCUACAUUUAUGUGGUAUUUUAGCGAAAGCUUCAUAACACCACUAUUUGGCGGUCAUAUGUUAUUCAAUUGAUGCCAAGAUGGAGAUUAAAAUCAAUACUGGUAGGAUUUGUCAUUUGCCUACCGCGUAGUUUGAUGUAAUUUAUUAAAUGUUUGCCUGUAAUAGUAGUGUAACCAUGAAGUAGUCUAUUUUUG
rnacentral:misc_RNA from 1 species